rnacentral:rRNA from 1 species
GAUGAACGCUGGCGGCGUGCUUAACACAUGCAAGUCGAACGGAAAGGCCCAAGCUUGCUUGGGUACUCGAGUGGCGAACGGGUGAGUAACACGUGGGUGAUCUGCCCUGCACUUCGGGAUAAGCCUGGGAAACUGGGUCUAAUACCGGAUAGGACGAUGGUUUGGAUGCCAUUGUGGAAAGUUUUUUCGGUGUGGGAUGAGCUCGCGGCCUAUCAGCUUGUUGGUGGGGUAAUGGCCUACCAAGGCGUCGACGGGUAGCCGGCCUGAGAGGGUGUACGGCCACAUUGGGACUGAGAGACGGCCCAGACUCGUACGGGAGGCAGCAGUGGGGAAUAUUGCACAAUGGGCGCAAGCCUGAUGCAGCGACGCCGCGUGGGGGAUGACGGCCUUCGGGUUGUAAACUCCUUUCGCUAGGGACGAAGCGUUUUUGUGACGGUACCUGGAGAAGAAGCACCGGCUAACUACGUG